GGCUGCGACUGUUUAUUAAAAACACAGCACUCUGCAAAUUCGUAAGAAGACGUAUAGGGUGUGACGCCUGCCCGGUGCCGGAAGGUUAAUUGAUGGGGUUAUCUUCGGAGAAGCUCUUGAUCGAAGCCCCGGUAAACGGCGGCCGUAACUAUAACGGUCCUAAGGUAGCGAAAUUCCUUGUCGGGUAAGUUCCGACCUGCACGAAUGGCGUAACGAUGGCCACACUGUCUCCACCCGAGACUCAGUGAAAUUGAAAUCGCUGUGAAGAUGCAGUGUACCCGCGGCUAGACGGAAAGACCCCGUGAACCUUUACUAUAGUUUUGCACUGGACUUUGAUGAUGACUGUGUAGGAUAGGUGGGAGGCUGUGAAGUGAGGACGCUAGUUCUCAUGGAGCCGCCCUUGAAAUACCACCCUGUUGUUAUUGAGGUUCUAACUUGGUCCAGUAAUCCUGGAUGAGGACAGUGUAUGAUGGGUAGUUUGACUGGGGCGGUCUCCUCCCAAAGAGUAACGGAGGAGCACAAAGGUACCCUCGGUACGGUCGGACAUCGUACCAAGAGUGUAAAGGCAAAAGGGUGCUUGACUGCGAGAGUGACGGCUCGAGCAGGAACGAAAGUUGGUCUUAGUGAUCCGGUGGUUCUGAAUGGAAGGGCCAUCGCUCAACGGAUAAAAGGUACUCCGGGGAUAACAGGCUGAUACCGCCCAAGAGUUCAUAUCGACGGCGGUGUUUGGCACCUCGAUGUCGGCUCAUCACAUCCUGGGGCUGAAGCAGGUCCCAAGGGUAUGGCUGUUCGCCAUUUAAAGUGGUACGCGAGCUGGGUUUAGAACGUCGUGAGACAGUUCGGUCCCUAUCUGCCGUGGGCGUAGGAAAAUUGAGAGGAGCUGCUCCUAGUACGAGAGGACCGGAGUGGACGAACCUCUGGUGCACCGGUUGUCACGCCAGUGGCAUGGCCGGGUAGCUAAGUUCGGACGGGAUAACCGCUGAAAGCAUCUAAGCGGGAAGCCUCCCUCAAGAUGAGUUUUCCCAUGAAGCCCGUUGAAGACUACGACGUUGAUAGGCAAGGUGUGGAAGCGCAGUAAUGCGUGAAGCUAACUUGUACUAAUUGGCUGAUUGUCUUGACCA
rnacentral:rRNA from 2 species